UACAGAGGGUGCGAGCGUUGUUCGGAAUUAUUGGGCGUAAAGGGCGCGUAGGCGGUGCGGUAAGUCACCUGUGAAAUCUCCUGGCUCAACUGGGAGCUUGCAGGCGAAACUGCCGUGCUGGAGUGUGGGAGAGGUGCGUGGAAUUCCUGGUGUAGCGGUGAAAUGCGUAGAUAUCAGGAGGAACACCUGUGGCGAAAGCGGUGCACUGGACCACAACUGACGCUGAGGCGCGAAAGCUAGGGGAGCAAACAGG
rnacentral:rRNA from 1 species